rnacentral:lncRNA from 1 species
AGCUGGAUGUUGACGUCGGUCUUACCCGAUGUUCCAGAACCGCAUCAUGGUUGUGAUAUUGUCGUUCAUUGUUGUUGUAUCUUAUCUCAAUUCUUGUACUGCAGCGGCAUGGUCCUGGUUCUAUUUUUGUUGCUCUUCCAGGAGUCUUCCAUGUUCUGCUUGCGUGUUUUGGAUGUCGAGGAGGGUGUUGUCGGUACGAGAGAAGAAAGCACCGGCCUCUUGAUAGUAGUCAUUCGUGAAGGCGUAGGAGGCGUCGGAGUAUCGUCCUGCAUCAAAUUGAGGCGGAGGUCUGGAUCCUGAAGCUCCAUAUGGAUCAGUGGAGUACCUGCCCGUAUGAAAAGGCGGGUUUGUCCACUGGUGAUCUUGGCUCUCCGGCCAUGUCUCCUCUAUUGGCUCUUGUGGUUGCGCAUGACGAGCCCAUGGGUCU